rnacentral:rRNA from 1 species
CACUCCUACGGGAGGCAGCAGUGGGGAAUAUUGGACAAUGGGCGCAAGCCUGAUCCAGCCAUGCCGCGUGAGUGAUGAAGGCCCUAGGGUUGUAAAGCUCUUUCACCGGUGAAGAUAAUGACGGUAACCGGAGAAGAAGCCCCGACUAACUUCGUGCCAGCAGCCGCGGUAAUACGAAGGGGGCUAGCGUUGUUCGGAUUUACUGGGCGUAAAGCGCACGUAGGCGGACUAUUAAGUCAGGGGUGAAAUCCCGGGGCUCAACCCCGGAACUGCCUUUGAUACUGGUAGUCUUGAGUUCGAGAGAGGUGAGUGGAAUUCCGAGUGUAGAGGUGAAAUUCGUAGAUAUUCGGAGGAACACCAGUGGCGAAGGCGGCUCACUGGCUCGAUACUGACGCUGAGGUGCGAAAGCGUGGGGAGCAAACAGGAUUAGAAACCCGGGUAGUCCCAUGA